UACGUAGGGAGCAAGCGUUGUCCGGAAUCAUUGGGCGUAAAGCGCGCGUAGGCGGCUCUGUAAGUCCGUUGUGAAAGUCAAAGGCUCAACCUUUGAAAGCCGAUGGAUACUGCAGGGCUAGAGUCCGGAAGAGGCGAGUGGAAUUCCUGGUGUAGCGGUGGAAUGCGCAGAUAUCAGGAGGAACACCAAUAGCGAAGGCAGCUCGCUGGGACGGUACUGACGCUAAGGCGCGAAAGCGUGGGGAGCGAACAGG
rnacentral:rRNA from 1 species